CCCAAACAAAAGAAAAUCCCUCACGUUCUCUCUGUUGUGAUUUUCCCCAACCCACCAUCGAAUAAAUGAAAGAAAACCCCUUAUUUUCUGCACAAAAUUUACAGUUACUGAGCACGAAGCAACUCAAGGAAGAAUCACAUACGAUUUGGAGUCCUCACUGCGACUAAUCUUCCGUUUCUAUUGAAGUGGUCUAGGGUUCCGUUUCUGUUGAAGUGGUCUAGGGUUUCGUCCACCUUCUCAUCAAGCAAAAAUGGAGUUUCACGUGAGGCUCUCAUAAACGAUGGGUCAUGGAGUCAAUCAUUCCACCUCUCAAACUUGUACAAACACUAACAAAAUAGUGCUAUUUUAGUUUUUGUUCGCUGGAUGGAGGUUAGUCAUUUCAGUCUUGCUCAUUUAUAUAUAUUUUUUUGCAAACUAUCUAAUGUACUCCAUGAGAAAAUAUAAUUAUUUGCUUUGACUGCUUAACUUGGAAAAGUAAGCAUAAUGGACACCAUUCUUUUACUUUUUAGUAGUUUUAAUAUUGAGAAAUGUCUUACUUUUAACUGAAAUAAUUAUUAUUAUUAGUACCUAAGCAAAGGUAAUUCAACUAAUUAUAACUAACUAUUAAUUAUCAAGAUUGUCUCUCUUUAUUGAAAGUUAGUCGACCAAAAUGAUGCUACUUUAAAUUUCAAACUGUAUAAGGAAGUGACAAAGUAAGUUCUGCAGUUAUUCGGUGCUUCAGUUUAACCGAACAUUUUAAACGAAAAACAAAAAACUGAAUCUUUUUAAUUUUAAACUGAAACUUAUCAAAUAAUCGAAUAAACCGAAUUUCUCUGGUUUAAACUAUUUAAUGCCCACCCUAACAUAGAACACAAGAAAUACUAGAAAUCAAAGCAGUAACACAAGGUUGGUUAUAAAAUGAAGUUUGGUAUAUGAACAACAAUUAAAUAGGAGAAAAGAACAGAAUAUUCCUUUUUCUAUUUUAUGGAGUCCUUAGCCAAUGACAGAUGGCGGCUAUCUUCACCUUUAAACUGUUGUCUUUCAUUUGUAUCUUUGUGGGGUUAAAGAAAGUGGUUUUCUAGUAUAGAAAUUUUGGGAGUGCUUCUCUCCAGCUUCUUUUGAUUCGAGGAAAAUCAAGAAAAAUCAGGAAGAGACGCCUCAAGUUGUUUGCUGGUUAGUUUGUUAAUUGAUUGUGUUGGGGCAUAUGCCUGAUCAAACAUGUCUUGGCUAAUGUGGUAAUACAUACUACUUGUUAGCUUUGGUUUUUUUAAGACUACAAAUUUAUGUAAAUUCAAUACUAUUGGUAUGUCGCCUAUGAAGUCUUUUAUUUGCUCUUCUGAUUGCAUUAAUGAUGAAGCUAUGGUAGAAGACUCUCCAAAAAAGACGACAAUGAGGAACCAUAGAUCCAUCAAAUUCUGUUAUUGUAGAUUACAUCUAUCUCUCUAUAUUCUUUUGUUUUAUCUGCUACUUUUUCGCCAAUCUUUUUUGAAUUUGAUCCAGCCAAGGUAAUGGUAAGCUUGCCUCUAUAUCUAGAGAAGUCGAAUUUAUGAACUUCAGUUGGUUGACUCCACUGCAGCAUGCAUUUUCUUCACUUUUUGUCUAGUGAGACUGGAGAUAAAUGAAGUUAUUGCAUAGGUGGCGUGUCAAAAUUGUCAAUCAUCAAAAAAUAUAUGUAAACGUUCUUCAAAUGUGCAUACUCCAAUAGAUAAACAGCUUGAUAGUGUGAUGUCUCUGAAAUUUUGGGGUUCUGAAAUUUCGGGAUUCAUUUUUAUAGAUUCAACUUUAUUUUCUAUUAGAUGAAUUUUAGAAGUAAUAAGAUAUCAAGGUCUCUUCUUUCUUCUUUAAUGGUUUAUUCUUUGUUACUAAAAUCUGACAUAUACUUGUUCUUUGAACAGAUCAAGAAUUCAAAGUUGAAGAACCUGUCCUUGAAGAAAGUGUAGAGCAAGUUGAAGUGGAGAGUUUUUUUUUUUGUUUUGUUAGGGAUGGUUCAAAGACGAUGUCUUAUGUACAUAUUCCUCAAUUUUGUUCUCUCAUUUUAGAAACUGAUAAAAAUGUUGUCGUACAAUUUGGAUGGAUAUUUUAUGGUACUAUGAUGUUUUAGUUCUUUGUAUUAACAAUGAAAAUUUAUAUGAAUAUAGAUUAUUGUUCUACUUC